AAGAGCUUUUUGUGGGGAAACUUGCAAGUAAAGUUUUGUGGGGAGGCGGGUGUCGCUUAAUUAUAAAUUGACUUUGGAGUUUGUGUAUUUUUUGGCAAUUGUGUUGAGGGCCUAUUGGCUGCUGAUCCACU
rnacentral:ncRNA from 1 species